AGCGGCGGACGGGUGAGUAACGCGUGGGCAACCUGCCUCAUACAGGGGAUAACAGUUGGAAACGGCUGCUAAUACCGCAUAAGCGCACAGUACCGCAUGGUACGGUGUGAAAAACUCCGGUGGUAUGAGAUGGACCCGCGUCUGAUUAGGUAGUUGGUGGGGUAACGGCCUACCAAGCCGACGAUCAGUAGCCGACCUGAGAGGGUGACCGGCCACAUUGGGACUGAGACACGGCCCAA
rnacentral:rRNA from 1 species